GACGAACGCUGGCGGCGUGGAUUAGGCAUGCAAGUCGAACGGUAUCAUCCUUUCGGGGGUGAGAGAGUGGCGAACUGGUGAGUAACACGUAGGUUAUCUACCCUCAAGACGGGGACAACCCAGGGAAACUUGGGCUAAUACCGGAUGUGAGCAACUUUUAGUUGUUUGAAAGGUGGCGUAAGCUGUCGCUUGGGGAUGAGCCUGCGUCCUAUUAGUUAGUUGGUGAGGUAACGGCUCACCUAGGCAAUGAUAGGUAGGCGGCCUUAACGGGUGGUCGCCCACACUGGGAUUGAGAUACGGCCCAGACUCCUACGGGAGGCAGCAGUCGAGAAUAGUCUACAAUGGUCGGAAGACUGAUAGUGCGACGCCGCGUGAACGAUGAAUCCCUUCGGGGUGUAAAGUUCUUUUAUAUGUGAGCAGUGCUUCUUAUAUUAACAGUAUGGGGAAGAGAGAUAUUAGCAUAUGAAUAAGCAACGGCUAACUCCGUGCCAGCAGCCGCGGUAAAACG
rnacentral:rRNA from 1 species